UACGUAGGGUGCAAGCGUUGUCCGGAAUUACUGGGCGUAAAGAGCUCGUAGGUGGUUUGUCGCGUUGUUCGUGAAAACUCACAACUCAACUGUGGGCGUGCGGGCGAUACGGGCAGACUAGAGUACUGCAGGGGAGACUGGAAUUCCUGGUGUAGCGGUGGAAUGCGCAGAUAUCAGGAGGAACACCGGUGGCGAAGGCGGGUCUCUGGGCAGUAACUGACGCUGAGGAGCGAAAGCGUGGGGAGCGAACAGG
rnacentral:rRNA from 1 species